AGCUUGUUGGUAAGGUAAUGGCUUACCAAGGCUAUGACGGGUAGCGGGUGUGAGAGCAUGACCCCCCUCACUGGGACUGAAACACUGCCCAGACUCCUACGGGAGGCUGCAGUCAAGAAUCUUCCUCAAUGGACGAAAGUCUGAAGGAGCAAUGCCGCGUGAUCGAAGAAGCCCCUCGGGGUGUAAAGAUCUUUUAUCAGGGACGAAUUUGUGACGGUACCUGAAGAAUAAGCCACUGCUAACUUCGUGCCAGCAGCAGCGGUAAUACGAAGGUGGCAAGCGUUAUCCGGAAUAAUUGGGCGUAAAGCGUCCGCAGACGGCUUGAUAAGUCACGAGUCAAAUCCUGAAGCUCAACUUCAGGGCCGCUCGUGAAACUAUCAUUCUAGAGGCCGGAAGAGGCAAGCGGAAUUACCGGUGUAGUGGUAAAAUGCGUUAAUAUCGGUGAGAACACCAAAUGCGAAGGCAGCUUGCUGGGACGGAUCUGACGUUAAGGGACGAAAGCGUGGGGAGCGAAUGGGAUUAGAUACCCCAGUAGUCCACGCCGUAAACUAUGGGUACUAAGCAUUGGGAGUAUCGACCCUCUCAGUGUUGUUUAACUAAGCUAACGCCUUAAGUACCCCGCCUGGGGAGUACGGCCGCAAGGCUAAAACUCAAAGGAAUUGACGGGAGCCCGCACAAGCGGUGGAGCAUGUGGUUUAAUUCGACGACAAGCGGGGAACCUUACCAAGGCUUGACAUCCUCUGAAUCUCUCCGAAAAGAGAGAGUGCCUUCGGGAGCAGAGUGACAGGUGUUGCAUGGUUGUCGUCAGCUCGUGUCGUGAGAUGUUAGGUUAAGUCCUCUAACGAGCGCAACCCUUAUCCUUUGUUAUUAUUACUAAGGAGACUGCCCGGGUUUAACCGGGAGGAAGGUGGGGAUGACGUCAAAUCAGCAUGGCCCUUACGCCUUGGGCUACACACGUGCUACAAUGGCCGGUACAAUGGGCUGCAAAGCGGUAACGUGAAGCCAAUCCCAUCAAAGCCGGUCUCAGUUCGGAUCGAGGUCUGCAAUUCGACCUCGUGAAGUUGGAAUCGCUAGUAAACGCGAAUCAGCCAUGUCGCGUUGAAUACGUUCUCGGGCUUUGUACACACCGCCCAUCACACCAAGAGAGUCGGUAGUACCCGAAAGCUGACAUUUGUCGGAAUAAGGUAAGACCGAUGAUAGGGGUGAAGUUGUAACAAGGCAUCCGUAGCGGAAGCUGUGGAUG
rnacentral:rRNA from 1 species